GACGAACGCUGGCGGCGUGCAUAACACAUGCAAGUCAAGGGGGCCCGCAAGGGCAACAGGCGAACGGGUGCGUAACACGUAAGCGACCUACCUCGAUGUGGGGCAUAGCCGGCCUAACGGCCGGGUAAUUCCGCAUACGCUCUUGGAGGGGCAUAUCUCCGAGAUGAAACCAGCAAUGGGCAUUGAGAGGGGCUUGCGGCCUAUCAGCUAGUUGGUGAGGUAACGGCUCACCAAGGCUACGACGGGUAGCUGGUCUGAGAGGAAGAUCAGCCACACUGGGACUGAGACACGGCCCAGACUCCUACGGGAGGCAGCAGUUGGGAAUCUUGGACAAUGGGGGAAACCCUGAUCCAGCCAUGCCGCGUGAGUGAUGAAGGCCUU
rnacentral:rRNA from 1 species